rnacentral:lncRNA from 1 species
AUGUCCUCCUCCGAUCGCCGCCGCGGCGGCAACGGCGGCGGCAGCGGAGGCCCCGUCGCGGUGCCUUCUUCCCGCGCCGUAUGGCGACCCCGCUCUACCGCCCCUGAUAUCCCCCCCCGCCCGCGCCGCCGCCCCCGCACCCGAUCGCAUCGGCCCGAUCCUGCCCUCCCCCAAUCCGGCCUCGGAGAUCGACCGCAGCAGCAGCAACGUCGCCCGCGCCGGAGGAAUCAUGGGGGUGGCGGCCAGCGCCGCGGCCCGCCGCAGGAGAGGCCUUCCGCUGCGCCGCCCCCCCCCGCCGCCGCAGCAGCAGCAGCGGCAGCAGCAUGCGGCGCCCGCUCCGACCCGUGCCGCCGCGCCUGCGCCUGCGCGUGUGGCGGCGACGAAGGCGGCGGCGGGGGAGAUGGGGCGGUGCCGCAGCUGGUGCAGGAGAUCCAGGACAAGCUGGCGAGGGGGGCGGUGGAGUGCAUGAUCUGCUACGACAUGGUGCGGCGGUCGGCGCCGGUGUGGUCCUGCGGCAGCUGCUUCUCCAUCUCCACCUCCCCUGCAUCCGCAAGCCGACGACGCUGCAGCCACCAGGUGCCCCAUGUGUGCGUCCUGCAGUGCCACCCAGGGCCCUGCCCGCCUUGCAAAGCGUUCGCGCCGGACCGGCUGUGCCCAUGCGGCAAGCAGACCAUUGUGCGGCGGUGUGCGGACCGGACAACGCCUGUGACGUGUGGGCAGCGGUGUGAUCGGCUGCUCCCCUGCCGGAGGCACCGCUGCGAGAAGGUCUGCCACACUGGACCAUGCGGGGACUGUAAUGUUCUCAUUUCUGCCCGGUGUUUCUGUGGGAAGAAGACAGAGACAUUGCUGUGUGGAGAGAUGGAACUGAAAGGGAAUUUAUCUGAGAAGGACGGAGUGUUCUCAUGCAGUGAGGCCUGCAGCCAUAUGCUGUCGUGCGGAAAUCAUGCCUGCCAAGACAUUUGCCACCCAGGGCCAUGCGGGGAGUGCGAACUUAUGCCAGGGAAGGUCACAGCAUGCCAUUGUGGGAAGACAAGGCUGCUGGAGAAGAGAGCAAGCUGCUUGGACCCGAUCCCAACCUGUGACAAGGUGUGCGACAAGAAGCUGCCGUGUGGUGUGCAUAGGUGCAAGGUCACAUGCCAUGAGGGAGACUGCCCACCUUGUGUGGUUCGUGUGGAACAGAGGUGCCGCUGUGGUUCAUCAGGCCAGAUGGUGGAGUGCUACAAGGUCUUGGAGGAA